rfam:Acinetobacter nectaris CIP 110549 genomic scaffold adgTG-supercont2.2, whole genome shotgun sequence.
AGUCAAGUAAUUAAGUGCAUGUGGUGGAUGCCUUGGCAGUCAGAGGCGAUGAAAGACGUAAUAGCCUGCGAUAAGCUCCGGGGAGGCGGCAAAUAUCCUAUGAUCCGGAGAUUUCUGAAUGGGGGAACCCACUUACCAUAAGGUAGGUAUCAAUAACUGAAUACAUAGGUUGUUGAGGCGAACGAGGGGAAGUGAAACAUCUCAGUACCCUUAGGAAAAGAAAUCAAUUGAGAUUCCGUCAGUAGCGGCGAGCGAACGCGGAUCAGCCCAUUAAGUUAUCUAAGUUUUAGUGGAACACUCUGGGAAGUGUGACUAUAAAGGGUGAUAGUCCCGUACACGAAAGGGCUUAGAUAAUGAUAUCGAGUAGGGCGAGGCACGUGAAACCUUGUCUGAAUAUGGGGGGACCAUCCUCCAAGGCUAAAUACUCCUGACUGACCGAUAGUGAACCAGUACCGUGAGGGAAAGGCGAAAAGAACCCCUGUGAGGGGAGUGAAAUAGAUCCUGAAACCGCAUGCAUACAAGCAGUGGGAGCAUAUUUAUUAUGUGACUGCGUACCUUUUGUAUAAUGGGUCAGCGACUUAUAUUCAGUAGCGAGGUUAACCGUAUAGGGGAGCCGUAGAGAAAUCGAGUCUUAAUAGGGCGUUUAGUUGCUGGGUAUAGACCCGAAACCAGGCGAUCUAUCCAUGAGCAGGUUGAAGGUUGGGUAACACUAACUGGAGGACCGAACCCACUGUCGUUGAAAAGCCAGGGGAUGACUUGUGGAUAGGGGUGAAAGGCUAAUCAAGCCUGGUGAUAGCUGGUUCUCCCCGAAAGCUAUUUAGGUAGCGCCUCGGACGAAUACCAUAGGGGGUAGAGCACUGUUUCGGCUAGGGGGUCAUCCCGACUUACCAAACCGAUGCAAACUCCGAAUACCUAUGAGUACUAUCCGGGAGACAGACUGCGGGUGCUAACGUCCGUAGUCAAGAGGAAAACAAUCCAGACCGCCAGCUAAGGCCCCAAAAUCAUAGUUAAGUGGGAAACGAUGUGGGAAGGCAUAGACAGCUAGGAGGUUGGCUUAGAAGCAGCCAUAAUUUAAAGAAAGCGUAAUAGCUCACUAGUCGAGUCGGCCUGCGCGGAAGAUGUAACGGGGCUAAAACUAUGUGCCGAAGCUGCGGAUUUACGCAUUAGCGUAAGUGGUAGGGGAGCGUUCUGUAAGCCGAUGAAGGUGUGUUGAGAAGCAUGCUGGAGGUAUCAGAAGUGCGAAUGCUGACGUGAGUAACGAUAAAACGGGUGAAAAACCCGUUCGCCGAAAGACCAAGGGUUCCAGUCCAACGUUAAUCGGGGCUGGGUGAGUCGACCCCUAAGGCGAGGCCGAAAGGCGUAGUCGAUGGGAAAAUGGUUAAUAUUCCAUUACUUCUGUGUAAUGCGAUGAGAGGACGGAGAAGGUUAAGUCAGCCUGGCGUUGGUUGUCCAGGUGGAAGACAGUAGGCAUGCAUCUUAGGCAAAUCCGGGGUGCUCUAUGCUGAGAGUCGAUAGCAAGUAGGUUUACCUACGAAGUGGCUGAUACCAUACUUCCAAGAAAAGUCUCUAAGCUUCAGUUACACAGGAAUCGUACCCGAAACCGACACAGGUGGUCAGGUCGAGUAGACCAAGGCGCUUGAGAGAACUCUGCUGAAGGAACUAGGCAAAAUGGUACCGUAACUUCGGGAGAAGGUACGCUGCUGAUGGUGAUGGAACUUGCUUCCUGAGCUGUCGGCAGCCUCAGAAACCAGGCCGCUGCAACUGUUUAUUAAAAACAUAGCACUCUGCAAACACGAAAGUGGACGUAUAGGGUGUGAUGCCUGCCCGGUGCUGGAAGGUUAAUUGAUGGGGUUAGCGUAAGCGAAGCUCUUGAUCGAAGCCCCAGUAAACGGCGGCCGUAACUAUAACGGUCCUAAGGUAGCGAAAUUCCUUGUCGGGUAAGUUCCGACCUGCACGAAUGGCAUAAUGAUGGCGGCGCUGUCUCCAGCAGAGGCUCAGUGAAAU